UGAUAAUCAACAGUAGUUGAAUUCAUGUUUCGGCCAUGAGUUUGUAGGGAGUAUCU
rnacentral:tRNA from 1 species